UGGGGUGUGAGGUUCAGGUAAGCUUCUAUCUUCUUUGGUGCGAACAGAGGAAGAGACCAAUCUCCUCUCGGAUGAGAGACCUAGAACUGCCCUAGGAUUUUUGGGUGAGGAAAAAAUCAAAGAGAAGAGAGUCUUCAUUAAAUUUUUCUUCACCAUCCAGUAUCCUUCUCUAAUCCAUCUUCAAAAUCAAAAAGAUUUGAGGUGAUCGAAGAAGAAGAUCCAAUUAGAUCUGUCAUCAGAAGCCGACUAUGCGAGCUAGUAUUCCCUUGAAGGGCUGAUCGGUCCGAGGGCUUCAUGUGGAUCAUCCGUAGAGGUCAGAUACUUGUGUGGCUACAAUAAAUCAAAGAAAACUUUCAGAUCUAUAUUCUUGAUUAUGAAAUUUGACUAUCCAUGCUCAGAUAUUAAGUUUGAAACUCUAGAAGUAGUAGAUUAGAUCUAUUACUAAAUGCAGUUUUUGGUUCACAUGCUUGUCAUUUUAGAUUCAGAUUUUUAUGUAUAUAAAUUCAUGUCAU
rnacentral:lncRNA from 1 species